CACGUAGGCACCAAAGCGUUUGUCCGGGAUUUAUUGGGCGUAAAGAGCUCGUAGGCGGUUCAGUAAGUCGGGUGUGAAAACUCUGGCUCAACCCAGAGACGCCACCCGAUACUGCUGUGACUUGAGUGACGGUAGGGGAGUGGGGAAUUCCUGGUGGUAGCGGUGAAAAUGCGCAGAUAUCAGGAGGAACACCAGUGGCGAAGGCGCCACUCUGGGCCGUAACUGACGCUGAGGAGCGAAAGCGGUGGGUAGCAAACAGG
rnacentral:rRNA from 1 species